rnacentral:rRNA from 1 species
GACGAACGCUGGCGGCGUGCUUAACACAUGCAAGUCGAACGGAAAGGCCCUGCUUUUGUGGGGUGCUCGAGUGGCGAACGGGUGAGUAACACGUGAGUAACCUGCCCUUGACUUUGGGAUAACUUCAGGAAACUGGGGCUAAUACCGGAUAGGAGCUCCUGCUGCAGGGUGGGGGUUGGAAAGUUUCGGCGGUUGGGGAUGGACUCGCGGCUUAUCAGCUUGUUGGUGGGGUAGUGGCUUACCAAGGCUUUGACGGGUAGCCGGCCUGAGAGGGUGACCGGCCACAUUGGGACUGAGAUACGGCCCAGACUCCUACGGGAGGCAGCAGCGGGGAAUAUUGCACAAUGGGCGGAAGCCUGAUGCAGCAACGCCGCGUGCGGGAUGACGGCCUUCGGGUUGUAAACCGCUUUCGCCUGUGACGAAGCGUGAGUGACGGUAAUGGGGAAAGAAGCACCGGCUAACUACGU